rnacentral:rRNA from 1 species
CCAAAAAUGGUGUAAUCCUUUAUAGAUAUACUUUAUUUUUAUAUAAUAAAUUAACAUUACAAACUUAAUUAUGGUAAAUAAAUUAAUUCCAGUUAAAAAUUUUAAAUAAAACUUCCUCAGGUUAUUUUAGAUUAGUAAAAAACAUAAGGUAAAUUAAGUGCCAGCAACCGCGGUCAUACUUAAUUAGUUUAAUUUAUAAUAAUGGAAAACUUGAUUAAGAGGAAUAAUGUUUUCAUAGUAAAAUAUAAAAUAUAAAAAUUUACACCUUAUACAUAACAAAUUAAAAUCAACCUAUCUUGAGAACUUGGAUUAGAUACCCAACUACUAAAGACUAUAAUUUUUCAUUGAGCAGUAAUUGCUCUAAGCACCAAACUCAAAAAAUAUGGCGGCAAUUUAAAGAAAUUAGGGGAACUUAUUACAUUAAUAUGAUAACCACCAAGAAAAUCCUUAUAUAAAAAUAUUUUGUAUACCGUCGUCAAAAAGGUAUAUAUAAAAUUUAUCUACUAACUAAAAAGAGGAUGACAGAUCAAGGUGCAGACAAUUUAUAUAAUGUUAACGAGUUACAAUUAAAAAUUUUAUUCGGAAAUUAUGAUGUAAGCAUAACUAAAGCUGGACUUAUAAGUAGAUAUAAAAUUAAUAAUAUAUAUUGAAUAUCCAACUUAACUUGUGC